CCACGGAUUUUUUUUAAUAACAGGUUUUCUCGACGCAGUUUGGUCAAAUUUAUUAAAAUCAACUGACGAGUUUUCGCCGGGUAGCCACUAUAGCCGAUAUAAUAUCAUCAUGGCACAACUGCAAUUUUCAUGAAAUUUACCAAACACACAAAGUAAAUACUAAAAAGUAUUUAAAUAAUAGGACAUUAGGCUCAUGAAAUCUAAUGGGGAGGUAACACGGCUUUGAGAACGGUGAGAAAAAAAAAUAUCGGUAAAAUGGCUCGCAUCUACCAGGUGAAUUUAGCGAGCUCACAUCUCUUUUUGCACUAUCCGUCCGGACCAAUAUAAUUUAUAGUGAUAUCUCGACGCAGGUACUACAUACAAUAAUAAUAAUAAUAAUGUAUACGAAUGAUGGAAGUGCGCAAUAAAAAGACAAAUCACGUCAUAAUACUAUACUUAUAUAUAUAUAUAUACACCGCGUGCGCGUGGAGUGGAUAGAAAUAAUCGCGGAGUGGUGUUUGACGAACAUAAUAUUUCCCCCGUGUUUUAGUAUACGUAUAGGUGUACUUCGCAAAACGUGCGAAACACCCGGCCUGUAACGGAUUACAAAUGCGAACAAAUAAAAUACGUAAAAACCGAGCAAACGUAAAAUAAAAAAUAUCGCAGCCGCUGUUGGGUCGCGUGUGAAUAAAUCCGCGCGACAAAAUAUUAUAUUAUAAAAACGAGUGCUACAAUCGAUUUU